AGUGAACGCUGGCGGUAGGCCUAACACAUGCAAGUCGAACGGCAGCACAGAGGAGCUUGCUCCUUGGGUGGCGAGUGGCGGACGGGUGAGGAAUACAUCGGAAUCUACUCUGUCGUGGGGGAUAACGUAGGGAAACUUACGCUAAUACCGCAUACGACCUACGGGUGAAAGCAGGGGAUCUUCGGACCUUGCGCGAUUGAAUGAGCCGAUGUCGGAUUAGCUAGUUGGCGGGGUAAGGGCCCACCAAGGCGACGAUCCGUAGCUGGUCUGAGAGGAUGAUCAGCCACACUGGAACUGAGACACGAUCCAGACUCCUACGGGAGGCAGCAGUGGGGAAUAUUGGACAAUGGGCGCAAGCCUGAUCCAGCCAUACCGCGUGGGUGAAGAAGGCCUUCGGGUUGUAAAGCCCUUUUGUUGGGAAAGAAAUCCAGCUGGUUAAUACCCGGUUGGGAUGACGGUACCCAAAGAAUAAGCACCGGCUAACUUCGUGCCAGCCGCCGCCGUAA
rnacentral:rRNA from 1 species